rnacentral:lncRNA from 1 species
CAGCCAGUACUCUUAAGCAUUGACCUAUCUCUCCAGCCCCCUGAGGUGUCUCUCUCUCUUUCUCUCUCUCUUUUUUUUUUGGUUUUUCAAGACAGGGUUUCUCUGUGUAGUCCUGGUUGUCCUUGAACUCGCUCUGUAGACCAGGCUGGCCUCGAACUCAAAAAUCUGCCUGCCUCUGCCUCCCAAAUGCUGGGAUUAAAGGCGUGCGCCACCACGCCCGGCCCUGAGGUGUCUCUUAAUUAAACAAUUGAUGCUCGUCCUCAUAGAUGAUAAUUUGCUCUGGACAUUCAUAAAUGGAACAGCUUUUGCCACUGCUGUGACUUUUUGCAGGGAUUGUUCCACACAGCUCAAUUGGGCUUCUAGACAAAGGGCUUCUGUGCUCUCUCCUCUGAUCCCAGCCCUGGCAGGACUCUGGGGUCCUUGGCCACACAGGCGUGAUGUUCUUGCAACUCUUUGUCUCUGAAUUAAUGUGGGUAUUGAAGGGGUCUUGGCCCCCAUGUGAGAUAACAGAGUCUGUUAUCUAUCGUGCCUCCCAGGAAUCUUUUUAAUAAAUUUAGAUGCACUUUGUCUUGCAGUAUGUUAGUCUGAAAUAUAUCCACAGGGAAUUGACACGUGGAUGUCAUAGACAUUCAUCUGGAGAUGCAGGAACCUCUGUCCCAGAGUGAUGGCUGCAUUAUCUGCAUGAAUAAACCUCUCAAGGAUCCACGUGUUCUGGCCAAGAUCAUCCAUGAGCCAUCUGGAUCCACUAGAAGCAGAGAGCAAAAUGCUUCUGUCUCCAUUCUCUCUUCCCAGGUCUGAGUUACAGAACUCUAGUCAUGCUACACCAAAGAUGCCAAAAUUUGAUACUCAGGGGCUCUGUUUAAAAGUCACACCCAACCUCUGGGAUGCAAGAUGCCAUGAACUUGUGUCGGAACAGGUGUGGUUUAGCCCUGAUUGGCAGUUGGUUCUUGUGUAGACCUUCCUACAACUAAGGAAAAAGCCCAGCAGCACCCUUACCAGGUGGGUGGACCAAACCUCUGUGAUCUGCUCCUGAGUCCCCAUUCUUAAACUGUAGCCUAUCUAAGGGUGUCUGUCACAGUCCUUGGCUGCUCAGAAUGAGAGCAGUGAAGGUGAGUCUUUGUUUCAUAGAGUCUAUAAAUGUGUCUCUUUUUGUUGUUGCUGUUGCUGUCUGUUUGCUAGUUUGUUUUUUUGAGACAGAGUUGCUUCCUAGUCCAGGCUGCCCUCAAACUCUUGAUACUCUUACCGCUGUCUUCCAAAUGCUGACACCACCAGCAUGUACCCCCAAGGCUAGCCUGUUCAUGAUUGUCUCUUGAUGAGAUGGUGAAGACAAAGACUAUGAUGACGAUGACAAGGUUGAGAGAAGGUUUGCACACACAGGCUCAGGCUGUAGCUCAGUA